ACUCCUACGGGAGGCAGCAGUGGGGAAUAUUGCACAAUGGGCGCAAGCCUGAUGCAGCAACGCCGCGUGAGGGACGACGGCCUUCGGGUUGUAAACCUCUUUUAGUAGGGAAGAAGCGAAAGUGACGGUACCUGCAGAAAAAGCACCGGCUAACUACGUGCCAGCAGCCGCGGUAAUACGUAGGGUGCAAGCGUUAUCCGGAAUUAUUGGGCGUAAAGAGCUCGUAGGCGGUUUGUCGCGUCUGCUGUGAAAACUGGAGGCUCAACCUCCAGCCUGCAGUGGGUACGGGCAGACUAGAGUGCGGUAGGGGAGAUUGGAAUUCCUGGUGUAGCGGUGGAAUGCGCAGAUAUCAGGAGGAACACCGAUGGCGAAGGCAGAUCUCUGGGCCGUAACUGACGCUGAGGAGCGAAAGCAUGGGGAGCGAACAGGAUUAGAUACCCUGGUAGUCCAUGCCGUAAACGUUGGGAACUAGAUGUAGGGACCAUUCCACGGUUUCUGUGUCGCAGCUAACGCAUUAAGUUCCCCGCCUGGGGAGUACGGCCGCAAGGCUAAAACUCAAAGGAAUUGACGGGGGCCCGCACAAGCGGCGGAGCAUGCGGAUUAAUUCGAUGCAACGCGAAGAACCUUACCAAGGCUUGACAUAUACCGGAAAAGUUCAGAAAUGUUCUCCCCGCAAGGUCGGUAUACAGGUGGUGCAUGGUUGUCGUCAGCUCGUGUCGUGAGAUGUUGGGUUAAGUCCCGCAACGAGCGCAACCCUCGUUCUAUGUUGCCAGCGGAUAAUGCCGGGGACUCAUAGGAGACUGCCGGGGUCAACUCGGA
rnacentral:rRNA from 1 species